rnacentral:rRNA from 1 species
AUUGAACGCUGGCGGAAUGCUUUACACAUGCAAGUCGAACGGCAGCACGGACUUCGGUCUGGUGGCGAGUGGCGAACGGGUGAGUAAUGUAUCGGAACGUGCCCAGUCGUGGGGGAUAACGUAGUGAAAAUUACGCUAAUACCGCAUACGAUCUAUGGAUGAAAGCGGGGGAUCGCAAGACCUCGCGCGAUUGGAGCGGCCGAUAUCAGAUUAGGUAGGUGGUGGGGUAAAGGCCCACCAAGCCAACGAUCUGUAGCUGGUCUGAGGGGACGAGCAGCCACACUGGAACUGAGACACGGUCCAGACGCCUACGGGAGGCAGCAGUGGGGAAUUUUGGACAAUGGGCGAAAGCCUGAUCCAGCCAUUCCGCGUGCAGGAUGAAGGCCCUCGGGUUGUAAACUGCUUUUGUACAGAACGAAAAGGUUUCUACUAAUACUAGGAGCUCAUGACGGUACUGUAAGAAUAAGCACCGGCUAACUACGUGCCAGCAGCCGCAGUAA